rnacentral:rRNA from 1 species
CUACGGGGUGCUCCAGUGGGGAAUAUUGCACAAUGGGGGGAACCCUGAUGCAGCAACGCCGCGUGGAGGAUGACGCAUUUCGGUGUGUAACUCCUUUUAUAUGUCAAGAAAAUGACGGUAGCAUAUGAAUAAGCACCGGCUAACUCCGUGCCAGCAGCCGCGGUAAUACGGAGGGUGCAAGCGUUACUCGGAAUCACUGGGCGUAAAGGACGCGUAGGCGGGUUGGAAAGUCAGGUGUGAAAUCCUACAGCUUAACUGUAGAACUGCACUUGAAACUUCUAAUCUAGAGUAUGGGAGGGGGAGAUGGAAUUAGUGGUGUAGGGGUAAAAUCCGUAGAUAUCACUAGGAAUACCUAAAGCGAAGGCGAUCUCCUGGAACAUUACUGACGCUAAGGCGUGAAAGCGUGGGGAGCAAACAGGAUUAGAUACCCCGGUAGUC